rnacentral:rRNA from 1 species
AACGAACGCUGGCGGCAGGCUUAACACAUGCAAGUCGAACGCAUCCUUCGGGAUGAGUGGCAGACGGGUGAGUAACGCGUGGGAACGUGCCCUUCAGUUCGGAAUAACCCAGGGAAACUUGGGCUAAUACCGGAUACGUGCGAGAGCAGAAAGAUUGAUCGCUGAAGGAGCGGCCCGCGCCUGAUUAGCUAGUUGGUGGGGUAAUGGCCUACCAAGGCAACGAUCAGUAUCCGGCCUGAGAGGGCGGACGGACACACUGGGACUGAGACACGGCCCAGACUCCUACGGGAGGCAGCAGUGGGGAAUUGUUCGCAAUGGGCGCAAGCCUGACGACGCAACGCCGCGUGGAGGACGAAGACCUUCGGUCGUAACU